rnacentral:rRNA from 1 species
CCUACGGGAGGCUGCAGUGGGGAAUAUUGGGCAAUGGGCGCAAGCCUGACCCAGCAACGCCGCGUGAAGGAAGAAGGCUUUCGGGUUGUAAACUUCUUUUCUCAGGGACGAAGCAAGUGACGGUACAUGAGGAAUAAGCCACGGCUAACUAGGUGCCAGCAGCCGCGGUAAUAAGUAGGUGGCAAGCGUGAUCCGGAUUUACUGGGUGAAAAGGGCGUGUAGGCGGGACUGCAAGUCAGAUGUGAAACCCACGGGCUCAACCCGUGGACUGCAUUUGAAACUGUAGUUCUUGAGUGUUGGAGAGGCAGGCGGAAUUCCUAGUGUAGCGGUGAAAUGCGUAGAGAUUAGGAGGAACACCAGUGGCGAAGGCGGUCUGCUGGACAGCAACUGACGCUGAGGCGCGAAAGCGUGGGGAGCAAACAGGAUUAGAUACCCCUGUAGUC